rnacentral:rRNA from 1 species
ACGCACGCUGGCGGCAUGCCUAACACGUGCACGUCGAACGAGACCUUCGGGUCUAGUGGCGCACGGGUGCGUAACGCGUGGGAACCUGCCCUUAGGUUCGGAAUAACUCCCCGAAAGGGGUGCUAAUACCGGAUAAUGUCUUCGGACCAAAGAUUUAUCGCCUUUGGAUGGGCCCGCGUUGGAUUAGCUAGUUGGUAGGGUAAAAGCCUACCAAGGCGACGAUCCAUAGCUGGUCUGAGAGGAUGAUCAGCCACACUGGGACUGAGACACGGCCCAGACUCCUACGGGAGGCAGCAGUGGGGAAUAUUGGACAAUGGGCGAAAGCCUGAUCCAGCAAUGCCGCGUGAGUGAUGAAGGCCUUAGGGUUGUAAAGCUCUUUUACCCGGGAUGAUAAUGACAGUACCGGGAGAAUAAGCUCCGGCUAACUCCGUG